GGUUAUAAAAAGGUAGUGCUCUCUAGCAUUUUUGCUUGCUCUGCUUUCAUUUCUCUGUUUUUCUUCACAUUUUAGAUUUUGCAUUGUUCUGCUUCUGUCUUUAUCUGCUAACAGGAGCAGAAAUAUUUACUUUUAUUGAACAAAAUCCAGAAAAAAGAAAAGCUAAGAAACAGGAGUUUACCUAUCAAUCUUUCAAUUCUUGAAUUUGUUUUUACAAUGUACAUGUGUUCUUCAUAGAUUAAGGACUGCUUCUUCUUCUUCUUUCUUCUUCUUCUUAUAAUUUCUUCCACAUGCAUUAUCUGUUUUUGAACUUUUUCCUUCCCCCAAAACAUCUAGGAAUCUAUCAUCACAAAAAUAAAAUACAAAAUCUCCCAACCAACGAGUAAAGACCAUAAUUUUCACUUAAAAAAAAAAAAUAACCGUUGAAUUAGAUGAAUCAGAUUAAAUCAAACUGAAAUCAAUCUAAAAUUAAAAUUAGAAUAAAAAAUGAGAAAAACCCUACAGUCCUAUCCCAGAUCUCCAACUUUAAAGACUGAAGCUACCAGUCCAAUUCUGAUUCGGCCUAGACCAGACCACCCCAUGCCAGGAUGAUGUCCAUUAAAUAAUAGUUAAUAUAAUACGGAAAGAACACCAAA
rnacentral:misc_RNA from 1 species